GACGAACGCUGGCGGCGUGCUUAACACAUGCAAGUCGAACGAUGAAGCUGGAGCUUGCUCCGGUGGAUUAGUGGCGAACGGGUGAGUAACACGUGAGUAAUCUGCCCUUGACUCUGGGAUAACUGCGGGAAACUGUAGCUAAUACCGGAUACGACACCUUCGGGCAUCCGAUGGGUGUGGAAAGAAUUUCGGUCAAGGAUGAACUCGCGGCCUAUCAGCUAGUUGGUGAGGUAAUGGCUCACCAAGGCGACGACGGGUAGCCGGCCUGAGAGGGUGACCGGCCACACUGGGACUGAGAAACUGCCCAGACUCCUACGGGAGGCAGCAGUGGGGAAUAUUGCACAAUGGGCGAAAGCCUGAUGCAGCAACGCCGCGUGAGGGAUGAAGGCCUUCGGGUUGUAAACCUCUUUUAGUUGGGAAGAAGCGAAAGUGACGGUACCAACAGAAAAAGCACCGGCUAACUACGUGCCAGCCGCCGCGGUAA
rnacentral:rRNA from 1 species